AAGUCGUAACAAGGUUUCCGUAGGUGAACCUGCGGAAGGAUCAUUACUGAGAGGUUUAAACUUAUGUUCCUCACAGUAUGUGCAAUGUUGGGUCACCUUGGUUGACUCUGCCUUUUCAGCUUGGACCUAGUAGAGACCCUCCUUUUAGGAGACUUAUUGGGUUGAAGCGACCAAGGCAUAACCUUUGGGGUUUGGUAUUUCUACUAGCCCCAGUGGUUUUUCUAUGAAAAGAAUUGAUGUAAGAAAAAGUUAUUUGUUAACUUGAAGACGUUCUAGUCUUUAAAAACAACUCUUGGCAAUGGAUCUCUUGGUUCUC
rnacentral:misc_RNA from 1 species